rnacentral:rRNA from 1 species
GACGAACGCUGGCGGCGUGCUUAACACAUGCAAGUCGAACGGUAAGGCCCUUCGGGGUACACGAGUGGCGAACGGGUGAGUAACACGUGGGUGAUCUGCCCUGCACUUCGGGAUAAGCCUGGGAAACUGGGUCUAAUACCGGAUAGGACUCCGGACUGCAUGGUCUGGGGUGGAAAGCUUUUGCGGUGUGGGAUGGGCCCGCGGCCUAUCAGCUUGUUGGUGGGGUGAUGGCCUACCAAGGCGACGACGG